rnacentral:rRNA from 1 species
AUAUACAGCCCUAAAUACCAUGAAGGCAACAGAUCCUAUCUAAUUUUGGAAGCUAAACAGGGCCAAACCUGGCUAUUACUUGGAUGGGACACCUCCAAGGAAUAUCAGGUGCUGUAGACU